rnacentral:lncRNA from 14 species
AUACCACAUACCCCAGGACACAAGCGGAAGCCUAGAACAUGUUUUGAAGAGUCAUCAUCUUCUGGCCAUGGCAUUUCACAUCCACACUUGGGAGGCCGGCUCAUGUCCAUCCUGGAUAGUGAACCGGCACCCGGACCCCAGACUCUCCUCACCUUGGCCCAUUGCCUGGGUAGAAAUAAGACACCAGAGAGCUCCCUGCCGUGCUCCAGGCCUUCUAAGUAGAACAAAGCUGCGCAUACCCAAGCCAUCUGUGGCAGGUAAUGAUGGAUUGAGAGGGUGUGGGAUGAGGGUCUGUCCUAAAUAGGA